AAAAGUUUGAAGCAAUUUUUCACUCAUGUGACAAUAACUACAAAAUCAAGAAGCAAUAUUUCAUGAAAAAAAGGUAAGAAAACAAGUAACAAAAACACUUGAUCAAAUGCUUCAAGUGUAUAAACCAAAAAGCUAAAAACUAUCAGUUACAAAUAAAUCCUAACUCAAGAGGCCAACUGUAUAAACCAAUUUCUGUUUCUCCCGUUUACACCCCUACUCCAACCGCCUCGUCAUGUUUCUGUCUCUGUUUUAUGUUCUUCAGUAAAAAAAUAGAAACUUAAAAGAAAAAAAUUCCAGUAAAAAACACAUAUCUCCAAAUACCCCUUUGUUUGUUCAUAUCAAUUCUUCACUUAGGUAGCUGCGCAUUGAGCCGUAAGGAGAGUUGAUAGCCACGAAUUGUAUAUGUUCAGGCAUAACUCUUCAGAUCAGAGGUCAAGAGAAAGUACUUCAAUGAAGCAGCAGAUACAAC
rnacentral:lncRNA from 1 species